rnacentral:rRNA from 1 species
GGGGAAGUAAAUGUCCUGCAAUAUGCCCCCUGGAUGCUGCGCGCUAGCCCUAUUAUCACCUAGCCGUCAAACAAGGGCUCAGUCCUCUAGUAAGGAGGCGCUGCUGUCGAAAGCACCACUACUCAUAGCACUUCGCCGCAGAGAGUGCAGACUCAACGUAGCUAUACGCACACGUAUGCCUUGGCGAGCGAGAGACCAUCGCAUGACAGGGAACAGUACGUGCGAAGUUAAUUGAGCUGAAGACUUCGGUAAGAUGCAUAGAAUAGGUACGGCAGCAACCGUACACUCGACAGAUGGAACGACAGCCAUGAUCACGACCUAGCUCAUGACAUCGGCUGGCGCAUAGGACGUGAAACCCUUCGACAGUGCACGAAUCGCUCAUGAGCAGCAAUGCUAGGGCAGACGUGCUAUCAGGCUAAAGGUAAAAGUCUGGGUUCAAGGAGGGCCCCACCAGGAGCGGAGCCUGCGGUCAAAUUUGACUCAACACGGGGUAACUCACCAGGUCCAGACACAAUGAGGAUUGACAGAUGGGGAGCCCUUUUUUGAUUUGGAGGGCGGAGGCCAUGGCCGACUUAGUGGGUGGAGAAAUUUGUCCUGCCUUAAUUGCGAUAACCAACGAGAAAUUACCCGCCUAAAAAGCCGUAUGCUUUGGGCAGUUCCGCUCGCCUUCUUUAUUAGGCCCUCUCCGCUUACGCCGGGUGCAAGUUGGCAUUGCCACUACCAAGGUCUUGUGUUCGCCCUUAGAUGUUCUGGCCUGCACGCGCCGUUCCUCUGCCAAGCCGCAGCGGCAGUUCUUCCUUAGUAGAGAUACUUGGGUAAUCUUGUUACACCUCUUGUCCGUGCUGGGGCAUACGAGCAUUGCAAUUAUUGCUCUUCACCGAGGAAUUCCUAUGUCAGCGUAAUGUCAUCCACUUGCGUUGAUUACUGUCCCUGCCCUUUGUUCACACCGCCCGUCGCUACUCCCCCCUUGAUAUGGCUCAGUCGAGGCUUUCUGGUUCUAGGUCCCAGAGGUGUCAGGCACCGACACCUCCUAGGGCCGGCCAAGGUCUUGGAACUUUUCCCAAAAUCGCAG